GGCCGAUCAAGCUGAGGUGUUGGGGAGGUGCCUGGAGGAGCUGUGUCUGCCAAGCCUGCCUUAGGCCCAGGCAGGAAUAAUUGACGCCGUUGUGGGGCCUGGUGUGAAGAUGCGUUUCCAGCACUUAGGACACGGCCAUUAUGGGCGUGGCAGCUCCGUUGGCAAGGCAGAAAAACCUGGGUUCCCAGGCGGCACAGUUGGCCCACCCUGGAUUUUGUGGUUUACGCGUGCAGCACGAAAGAAGGAUUCUUCCUCAGCAGUAUCGUUCCACCGGCACAGGGGUAAAAGCAGCAAGAGGCCAUCUCCUGCCUCCUAUUUAUGAAAACAAUAGCUCAAGUUUAUGGUAUUAACCGUGAGCACCGCCACUUCACUUCCCCCCACACUCUCUCUCCACACCGUAUACACGCACA